rnacentral:piRNA from 1 species
AGCCUGAUAGAGAAUGUUUUGGAAAU